GCAGCUCAGAGAAAAGUCACAAGCGGUGUGAUUCCUGUGAGUGUCAAAUGGUCCGAAUUUUGUCUCAAAACUUGGGUGUGACCACAGCUGCAGUUUCCUCAUACGCCAGGAACAAAACCAAGGGGGAAAUGNUGUCCUGCACAAAGAUGCAAUAGCUUUCGAGACAAAAAAAAGUAAGUCCAACAAACUUGGANUCCUUUGGGAAAACCCAUCCAGCUUGGAAAAGCGAAACUGGAAAAAGGAUUUGGAACUUUGGAACUUUUUAGGCCUGUGACCGAUUCUUUGCUCCUGGUGGCAAGAGAGACUCUUUCUUAUUUCCAGCUAAACUCUUGCACUCUGUCCUUUUUCCACCCUUGGCUGGGAGAACUAGAUUUCCUUUUGCUUUCUUCUGCAGGCGGCCGGCAAAGUUUCGAUUUCCCAAGCCUCAAGUCAUGAGAUUUCCUGCAAAGGGGGAGUGGAAGCUAUGUUGGCAAGAAAGGCAAAGCGUUUCUGCUGGAAGAAGAGAGAGCUAGAGGGGCAGUGGACAACGUUUUGGGGAUUUUUCGGCAGCAGUCCGUCUGCCGGCUUCUUUUCGGAUGGGGAAACUGAAGACCCAGACGCCUUACUCCAUGUGGGGACGGGCCAUAGGUGCUUGGGCCCGGUACGAGAUAUGGGGGAAGUCUCAUUUUGGAUGCAGAGUUGUUCUUGGUGUUCUGUGUUUGCUCUUGCUGCUGAUGCUUUUGAGCUCCCAAGAGGAAUCUAAGCCGGUUUGCAAAUGCUCAGAAAGCGCCGUCCAGCUAGAGAUGUCCCAGCUCAGAGAAACCACGGCGUUGCUCAAGAAGCGUUUGGAUGCAAGCAAGAAGGAGGCCUGGGGGGCCGAGAGGUUGCGCAUCGGCCUGCAAAGGGAGCUGGUGGGCGUCAACAGGAGCCUUUCUGAGACCCAAAAACUUCUGGCCAAGGCGCAGAAGGAAGAGGGCGAAAUGCGGGCGCGGCUGGCAGAAGCGAAUCGGACGUUCGUCGAGGCGCAAAAGCACAGGAACGCCUGCGCGACGCAGCUGCACACCUUGGNGGAAAGAAUUGCAUCCCAGGAAGCAAAAACUAAGGAAAAACAAGCAGAGAACCAUGAACUGCAAGUGCAAAUCCAGCAACUUCAAGCACGGCUCGCCGAGCGAGAGGCCCAGUUGGAGCAAAAAGAUAACAGAAUACAGAAUCUACGAGAAUGGAUGGAUCGGAGAGAAAGAGACGAGUGGUCGAACAGGCACCGUUCUGACGUCGAAACCCUCCGCUGCUUCUGCAUCACAACCUUCUUGUUGAUUCUGGCUGGUCUUCUUCUGAUUCUUUAGCUUCUGGGCAUCACAACAGUCCAGCGGCAGUAGCUGAGGAACAUCUGCGUCCUUGCCUUUUUUGCGGGGGCCACCAUGCGUGUGGCCACGAUGCCUGCAACCCUCCGUCUCCGCCCUGGCNCAAAAGGGGUAGGAGACUCUCAAAGAUGCCUACCUGAGGAUUUGGGGGGGCCCGUGGCAUCGGUAAGGACCAGCUGUGGAGACUGGUCAGGCGCCAGGGGCGUGCUGGGACGAAACCCGGAAGUCAGUAUUACCCACACNGACUUUGCACUUUCGGCAGGAGCGACCCUCUGCCUUUCUUUCAAGACGCACUGCAAAGAUAAAUGACUUUCAGCCCGUGUCGUUGUCUGGGUCCCGGACUGUGUUGAAAUUCUAGAGUGCUUANUCCGGGCUGAGUGUAUUGUUGCAAUUGGAUUAUUUUAUUAUGUGGUGGCAUUAUUAUCGGAGUUGUGUUGUUUUAUUGUAUGGUUGUAUCCUUUUAAUUUCCAUGUUGUUUUAUCUCGAGGUUUGUGGGCUGUAAUAAAAUGUGUCUGUCU
ensembl:lncRNA